ACUUAUCGAAACAAACUUGUAAUUAAAGUUGUAACACAAUACACAAUUACAAUAACAUUUAGGUCACAGUACGUGCUAUGAAUAACACUGGAAUACGUUGAAAUUUACCUACGUUUAAUGUCAUCUUGUAUCGGGGCAUGUCGAAGCUGUAUACUAUUAAAUUAGUAUUCAACACGGGCGUUGAAUAGGAAUGAAUCGCGUCUGCUUCGCGCCUCCGUCCAUUGCGCCAAUCGUUCGACGUUUGUGACAAAUUUAUUAAAGUGCCAACAAGCGAUUUUAUUGGCAUAUUUGAUGAGAAACCGAUCAAUAGAGUUCACAGAAAUUAUCACAGAAAUCUACCUUAACAAAUCAAGUAAAUAGAUGUCCUUGAGUUGGCAGCCUGGUAAUGUGUAAAGGGGUUAUCCUAGUACCGAUACCAGUCUCUCACAAAGAUUGUUUUGAAUGUAGCUCAAUUACAACAUCUUCAAAGUACAGCAAAACAAAACAUUAAAGUGCCUAUUUCUACUAAUUUUUUUUCACACAACAUGGCCAUAUUCUUUUGGCGGGAAGGCAAAAGACACCUAUCGUGAGGUCACACACUGGCCGCAUGUGUAACAGUAAAAAAAAAAAGAAUUUAAUAUUUUUAAAACCACUUUAUACUAUUGCAUUUGCCUUGACGAUUGUGUAAAAUUGUUUCUAUCGACAAUAAAAAUAAAAUAAACAAAUAAAAUACACGUGCAAUACACUUCCUGUAUGAGAAUGCUAACAGAGAUCCAGAGAUUACGAUCGAACAACAACUUCUGCCCAAGGCAACCGACGAGAUAUCAUCGCUUUCGCCGAAAGAAAUAAAACCACAAACAUUUUAUAAAUCUCCGUUGUGAUCUACUGUAACACGAGAACAAUACGUGAUUUUAUUAUUAAGUGAUAUUUUAUUAAGAAACGAAAUAAAGUAUUCGCAUAAUAAAAUAUAUGCUUUGUAAUUAUUUUAUGUAUUAAAAUCUUUGAAUGUUUCAUCGACAAUGCUGUCAGAAUGAUUAAACUUAAAAAAAUUUAAGGUGGCCCAUUUUUGUCACAUAGGUACUUAGAAAAUAAGACAUUUUUGGUAUUUUACAGAAUUUGUCUUUUACAUAUAAU